AUUUCCGUAGGUGAACCUGCGGAAGGAUCAUUACUGAUUUGCUUAAUUGCACCACAUGUGUUUUUCUUUGAAACAAACUUGCUUUGGCGGUGGGCCCAGCCUGCCGCCAGAGGUCUAAACUUACAACCAAUUUUUUAUCAACUUGUCACACCAGAUUAUUACUAAUAGUCAAAACUUUCAACAACGGAUCUCUUGGUUCUCGCAUCGAUGAAGAACGCAGCGAAAUGCGAUACGUAAUAUGAAUUGCAGAUAUUCGUGAAUCAUCGAAUCUUUGAACGCACAUUGCGCCCUCUGGUAUUCCGGAGGGCAUGCCUGUUUGAGCGUCGUUUCUCCCUCAAACCGCUGGGUUUGGUGUUGAGCAAUACGACUUGGGUUUGCUUGAAAGACGGUAGUGGUAAGGCGGGAUCGCUUUGACAAUGGCUUAGGUCUAACCAAAAACAUUGCUUGCGGCGGUAACGUCCACCACGUAUAUCUUCAAACUUUGACCUCAAAUCAGGUAGGACUACCC
rnacentral:rRNA from 1 species